rnacentral:rRNA from 1 species
UACGAAGGGGGCUAGCGUUGCUCGGAAUUACUGGGCGUAAAGCGCACGUAGGCGGAUUGUUAAGUCGGGGGUGAAAUCCUGGAGCUCAACUCCAGAACUGCCUUCGAAACUGGCGAUCUUGAGUCCGGGAGAGGUGAGUGGAACUGCGAGUGUAGAGGUGAAAUUCGUAGAUAUUCGGAAGAACACCAGUGGCGAAGGCGGCUCACUGGACUGGUAUUGACGCUGAGGUGCGAAAGCGUGGGGAGCAAACAGG